rnacentral:lncRNA from 1 species
AGCUUGAUUAUUGAAGGGCGAGGGAGCAAACUAUAGAAAACCUUUCUGGAAAAAAUGCAAAUUCGGCUCAGCAAACCAGCUAGUGAAGGUGUUGCAGGUACAAAGUCCUUGCCUGAAGAAACUGUGACUGUUGCAUGUCCCGAUCACCUUGUCCUAGCUGAUCUUCCUGUAGCUAAGAGCCUUGGUUCAGCUAGUGAGACUGCUCUUCUCAAGAAUGUUGGUCGCAGAUCCCGUCGUCAGCUUGGUGACAGGGUUCAUUUUUGUGUCCGUUGCGACUUUCCUAUUGCUAUUUAUGGGCGUCUGGUAUGUAUGACUUUCCUGUGCACAUUGUUUUUCCUCUGUAUCGUAGUCCAUUUAAUAAGUUCAACUGACAGAAGAGGUUGUUAAUAUAAAAAGUUUGUUCUUAAAGAAGAUGGUUGAAUUUCUGUUUCCACCGCUGCCAGCAGAUGCACUGCACCUAUAUACAUGGGGGAACUCACAUUUAUGCGUGCAUGCACACAACUGAUUUAUGAAUUGAAUGAAGAAAGAAGUGGGAGAUUUGUAUACUUCUUUCUGUUUCACAUCUCUUCGAUCACUUUCUAACACCUACACAUUUGCAUGUGUAACUGCUGAAGGUUCCUCGGAUUUGUUUCCAGACAUUUUUGGGGAAAAUUUUUCUUUGUCCAGUAUGAAUCAUUCCCUCUUGGGAUUCCAGUAUUGGAAUUUUUUUUUUUUUUUUUUUUUUUUUUUUUUUUUUUUUUUUUUUUUUUUCAAAAACCAUAAAUUUUUUUUUUUUUGCAUGUCCCGAUCACCUUGUCCUAGCUGAUCUUCCUGUAGCUAAGAGCCUUGGUUCAGCUAGUGAGACUGCUCUUCUCAAGAAUGUUGGUCGCAGAUCCCGUCGUCAGCUUGGUGACAGGGUUCAUUUUUGUGUCCGUUGCGACUUUCCUAUUGCUAUUUAUGGGCGUCUGGUAUGUAUGACUUUCCUGUGCACAUUGUUUUUCCUCUGUAUCGUAGUCCAUUUAAUAAGUUCAACUGACAGAAGAGGUUGUUAAUAUAAAAAGUUUGUUCUUAAAGAAGAUGGUUGAAUUUCUGUUUCCACCGCUGCCAGCAGAUGCACUGCACCUAUAUACAUGGGGGAACUCACAUUUAUGCGUGCAUGCACACAACUGAUUUAUGAAUUGAAUGAAGAAAGAAGUGGGAGAUUUGUAUACUUCUUUCUGUUUCACAUCUCUUCGAUCACUUUCUAACACCUACACAUUUGCAUGUGUAACUGCUGAAGGUUCCUCGGAUUUGUUUCCAGACAUUUUUGGGGAAAAUUUUUCUUUGUCCAGUAUGAAUCAUUCCCUCUUGGGAUUCCAGUAUUGGAAUU